AUCAGAACUGUGAGCUCUCUCUGUUGGUGUCAUUGCUAAACGGCCAUUCCCUCCAUUACCCCAUGCAAAUAUAUGGUUAUCUGGAAAAUAAAAAAGUUUAUCAUCUUAAAAGUCAAGAACUCCACUCUAGUGCUGUCUUCCGGAGGUUCAAUAGAACAGUUCUGUCCUAGUUCUCUGGAGGCUGGGUUCAUCUGAUUCACCAUCAACUGCUGGAGGGCAAUCAGCCACAGUCAAGCUAGCAGAAAGUUGUGUCCUAUGGAAUGCUGUUCCAGAUGACCAUCCAAAUUUUGGAAUGCUUUUUGGAAGAUGUGGGAAGUGAAGAAAGAGAGAAACUCUUGAUCUUUGGACCAUACUUACAGUAGGCAAACUCACUGAAUGAGGGAAUACCACUUAGGUAUCCAUAGGUGGAUUAAAAUUAGACAUGUGAAUUGUCUGCUUAUGUAAUACUAUCAGAUAUCAACAGUGAUGUAGCAUAUGUCAAAACAUAGAACAUUAAACUGGGAAUUCACACAGAAAAAUCCCUUCCUAAACAUAGAUAUUUAAUAUGAGUUAAAUUCCAUUUUGUACUGUCUUCACAUACACUGUAUGUAUGUUUCUCCAGGAUAAAGUUACUACAGUACUUAUAAUGGUUGAAUAUUAUUUCCAGCAUUAUUUUAAUAUCUAUUUUACAUGAGGUCCAUUCUGCCUGAGUUCAAGUGCUGGUUGGAACUGAAAGCUCUCUAAAGAUUUGACUAUUAGCACUUCUGUAUAGUCUUCUCCAGGUAUAAUCAGUCCACCCUACAUAGUCUAGCUACAAAGAUGCUAUGGCUAUCCACCUAUGAGACAGAUGAAGAGAUUGGGAGAUUAGUGGCAGCUCCUCCCCAUGGAACAGCUUGCCCCAUGAGGUUGAAUUACCCCCCAUUCUUUUAGUCUUAGGUAAGUUGGUCAAAGCAGUCUUCUUCUGAAGGACAUUUGGUUAAGAAAAUUUUAAAUGAAGAUAGCAAGAGUUAUCAUUCUGGGAUUAUAAUGAUGCUUAUGAUUUAAUAAGUAUACACUUAUUAAGCCAUCUACAGCUGCCUCAAAUAUGUGGCAUAUCAAUAACUGUAAAAUAAAUAAAAUGUUAAUCUCUAGGAACACUUAAUUCCUUCCAGCUGAUAAAUUGGGCCAAAGGCUAUUUGUUUAGUUGCAGUUCCACUUGGAGGCAGCUGGAGCCUUAUGUAUUUGGGACAUGAAUGGAUAUCCAUGCUCAAUUGGAGAGGCCAAUGUGAUCUGUCAUGAUGACCUCCUUGCAGUACAAGAUGCAAAUUCCUAGUAGCACUUGAUCCCUUCAUUGAUGGCAGGUGCCAAAGAAUAAUG